AAUGUAUUAGAGUUAGCACUUCUUUGUGUCUUUUAAAGGUCUCUAUCAUCAUUCCGGAAACCCUGGCGAAGUAGUGGUUAAGAGCUACAGCUGCUAACCAAAAGGUCAGCAGUUUGAAUCCACCAGGCACUCCUUGGAAACCCUGUGGGGCAGUUCUACUCUGUCCUAUAGGGUUGCUAUGAGUCAGAAUCGACUCGAUGGCAAUGGUUUUUGGAUCACCAUUCCAGAGCACUGGUGGCACAGUGGUUAAAGCACUCAGUUGCUAACCGAAAAGUUGGUGGUUCGAACCCAGCAGCCGCUCCACAUGCGAAAGAUGUGGCGGUCGGCUAUCCUAAAGCUUAAAAAAAAAAAAAAUUGAAAUCCUGUGGGGCAGUUCUACUCUGUCUUAGAGGGUCACUGUAAGUUAAAAUUGACCUGACAGCAACUUCUCUUUUUUUAAAAUCACUAUUGCAAGAUCUAAAAUACUAAUCACUUUUUUUUUUUUUACUGAGCAUUUUAAUGUUCUGUUUUUGAUGUAAGCCCUUAAUCUACUUGGAGGUCAUAUCUGCAUAUAGUGGAAAUCCAAGGUCAUCUUUCUCCAAAUGAAUAACCAUUUUUUCCAGUCCCACAUAUUUAACAGUUGUCUGCUCCCCCACCUACCUAACAUUCAACCACAGCCAUGUUUCAAAGCUUCAUCAUUUGUGGGUCUUCUUCUGGGCUCCCUGACAUAUGCUACUGGCCAAUUUUUCUCUCCCUGCACCAGUGCAUACAAAUGUUAGAAUUAAUGCAUUAAGUUCCAUAAAAAACAAAACAAAACAAAACACUUUUUGGACUGUGAUUGGAAUUGCACUGACACCAUAGAUCAGGAGUCAACAAACUUCCUGUGAAGAGUCAGGAAAUAUUUAAGUUUUUGUUAGCCACCUUCAGUCUGUUUCUCCUCCCCCUUCUCCUUCUUUCCUCCUCCUCUUCGUCCUUCUUCUCCUCCUCUUCCUCGAACUCUUGAAACAUGUGAAAAUCAUUUUUAGCUUCAGGACCACCAAAACCAGAAUGUGGGCCAGGUUUGGUCUGUGGGUAUAGUUUCCUGACCUUGGCUAUAGAACAACUUUGGGAAAAUCAAUGCUUUUAUAAUACUGUCUUCUUAUCCAUAAGUAUGGUUCGGCUCUCCAUUUAUUUAGAAUUUCUUUAGUGUCUUAAAAUUUUUUUAUAAUUUCCCCCAUAGAGGUGUUGUUCUUGUUUUAUUAGACAUAUUCCUACCACCACCACCAGUUGCCAUCAAGUCAGUUCCUAUUCAUGAACCCCAUGUGUGUCAGAGUAGAACUGUGCUCCAUAGGGUUUCCAAAGGCUGACGUUUCAGAAGUAGAUCACCGGGCCUUUCUUCCGAGGCGCCUCUGGGUGGAUUUGAACCUCCAACCUUUUGGUUAGCAGCCAAACUAAUUAGUCAUUUAUAGCACUCAGGGACUCCUGUGUAUUUGGUAUUCUCCAAUACUAUUAAUAGUUAUGUCUGCUUUUAAAUCAGAUUCUCUAGUCAUAUUUGUUCUGGUAUAUAGAAAUGUGAUUGACUUGUAUAACAAGCUUAUAUCAGCAAGAUUUCUAAACUCUUUUAUUACUUCUUAUAGUUUUUUUUAAUAGAUUCUUUUGGGUUUCCCAUGUAAACAAUCACAUAAUCUGUUGGAUUUCAGCAUUUUUAUGUGUUGGUUCCCCAAGGUUCAAUCUCUAGGUAAAUGUGUCCUCACUGUGGGUUUACAUAUGUUUAACAAGUAUGAGACUCUAACACUGCUAUGCUUCCAUUUUGUCUUGAUGUUUUUUAGUCUCCACUUAUAACCCUGAAUGCCAAACAAGAAAUAAUCAUUUUUAUUUAUGAUUCAGAAAUGGAAGAGUAAUGAUUUUUCGAGCUAAUCUACUGUUUUCAAGGUGCCUUCAAACAUAUUAUUUUAUUUAAUUCUAAGAUUACUUCUGUAAGGAAGUGAACUAGAAGCCACUGAGACUAUGUGGGGCUCUAUGGUGGGUAACAUAUCAUAAGGUGCAACAAGGUGAAGGAACUCAAUUCACAUGCUCUUCUAAGAACUGAAACGUGUUCCCACUUCUGAUGGAACCGAAUAGUGCUUUGAACUAUGGAAGAUAAAAACAGACAAAAAAUAACUAGAGAUUAUGACAAAAUAUUUAGCAUGCUUUCUUAUUGCCACCAUAUGAGGGAGUGCAUAACACACGUAUGAUGGAAAGUCACCAUGAUGUCAAGACAUUUAAGCCUUAAUGCAAACUGAAGUUUCUCAUAGCUAUCCAAGAGGGCAGCUACUUCAUAUAAGGGUUUCCAUGAAGGAUAAUGCUGGAAUUCUGUUUCAAUUGAGAAUAUGAGGCGGAGUUGAUCACUUACUGGAUGAGAGACUUUAGAAGAUGUAGCACAACUAUCAGAUAACCCCGAUCUCUGCUCAUUUUGUCCUAUUUCCUCUUCCCAGUAUCUAUGCAAAAUAAAUUAAAUAAACUUGGGGCUCUACUUCCUUGGGCAAUUCAUUUCAAAAAAGAUGUGGUUUGUUUUGGGCGUUUCAAGCUCUGUAAUCAAUCAGAAAAUUUGCAUAUCUUACAAUAAGAUAAGGAGCCCUGGUUGCGCAGCUGUUAAGAGCUAUGGGGAGCUAUGGCGAGCUACGGCUGCUAACCAAAAAAGGUCAGCAGUUCGAAUCCACCAGUUGCUACUUGGAAACCCUAUAGAGCAGUUCUACCCUGUCCUAUAGGGUUGCUAGGAGUUGGAACCGACUCGACAGCACCCAACAACAACAACAACACAAUAAGACUGGAAUCCAAAGGAAGCCCACCUACUUGGUCUUCCCCACAGAAAGCAAACGGAAGUGAAACUCCUAAGGGCUGUGUGCUCAGUGAAAUGAUUUCUGUACGGCAUUUUAGCGAGGCAGUGGUGGGUCAGUGGUAGAAUUCUGGCCUUCCACACUGGAGACUUGUGUUAUAUUUCUGACCAAUGCACCUCAUUCUCAACCACCACAUGUCUGUCAGUGGAGGCUUGCAUGUUGCUAUGAUGCUGAACAGGUUUCAGCAGAGCUUCCAGGCUAAGAUGGACUAGGAAGAAAGGCUCAGAAAUCUACUUCUGAAAAUCAGCCAAUGGAAACCAUACAGAUCACAAUGGCCAAUCCACAGCCGAUUAUGGGGAUAGUGCAGGACUGGGUAGCAUUUUGUUCUGUUGUGCGUGGGGUCACCAUGAGUCAGGGGCAAUUCUAUGGCAGCUAACAACAACAACAACAUGGCACUAGUUGGAGUUUGCUUAGUACGAAAGUGUUUCUUAGACAAAGCUCACCUCAGUUUUGAAUUCAUCUUUCCACUGUCAUCUUACUUUUUUCACCACUCAUUUUAUUUCAGAGCUUCUCCUCAUGACCCUGUUUCAGCAAGCCUCUUGGAUAUCUACGUCUCCCAGCUCUUAUCCAACCUACACGUGCCAUCUGUAGGCCAUUAAAACAAAAAACACAUUCAAGCCAAAGUAUUAAUGGGUCAUGCUUUUAAAGGGACUCCUGGACAAGAAAAUGCCCUAGACCACAUUGGGGUGGCCCCUCCAAUUGUAGGUGUUCAGGCACUGUAGCAGACUAAGGGAAGGACAAUUUCACAUGCAGCUCAAAUCACAUCUCAGAGGCGCUGGAGCCCAAAUAGCCUUACUGUUCCACGGAGGUUGUGGGUGGCCCAGGGUGAUUUAAAAGACAAGAGGACAUACCAGACAUUCCUAACAGGAGAGUUCAUGGUUUUCAAACUGUGUUCCUUAGUAUCUAGGGAUUCUGUGGAAGAUCAAGGGUGAUAUGAACGGGGAAACCAAGACGAACAAGUAGGCAGGACUCUCCCCCUGCACUCCUCACGUCAACUAAUAAUACUUUACCCUUAAUAAUUAGAUUACUAUUAUUUGACUAAUAGUAAUGGAAGUAUAGUCCCUCUGUUACCUUUUAAUGAAUUGAAUUUCUAAUUAAGUUUAUUUUAAAAAGUUUUUUCCUAAAUUUUAUUUAUUUUGUUGCUGUUGUUGAGAAUAUACACAUAAAACGUACACCAAUUCAUCAGUUUCUGCAUGUACAAUUUAGUGACAUUGAUUACAUUCUUUGAUUUGUAUAACCAUUCUCACUCUCCUCUUUUGAGUUGUUCCUGCCUCAUUAACAUAAACUCACUGCACCCUGAGGUUCCCAUCUAAUCUUUUGAGUUACUGUUGUCAGUUCGAUCCCAUAUAGAUAGUUCUUAAAAGAGCAUAAUGCUCAUGGCAGGCCUUUUUUUUUACUAGUUAAGCUAAACUUCUGUUCACUUUUUUAAAAAAUGGUUUACUUAAAAAAAAAAUGGCAAGUGCUAUUUAAGCUCAUGUGCUCUGUGUCCAGGAAUCCCCAGUUAAAAUGUAGAUAUCUUUAAGCAAAAACUCAUUUGCCUGUCACUAUCUCAGGGGGCAUUAAUUAUCAAAUAGCUAAGCCUUGAAAAGCUGAGAGUUGGUUUUUGGAAGAGUGGGCUACAGAGAUGGAGCAUUUUGUUACGGGGACAGAAGAAAUAGAAAAAAAAAGAGUCAUGACAGUGGGGAAUGACUGGAGGUAAUGUCGAGUGUCAAAGGCAAAUUGGCCAGCUUCAUGAUUUGGCCUAUGAUGUGCCCUGUCACAGCCUGUAGACUUCAGGUUUUCAGAGCUUAAAGAUAUGUCACCUGUGUCUUGUUUAAUUCAUCACAUUUGAUAAUCUGUCAGCAUUCCUGACUGUAUCACAAUGAUAGCUUAUCCCUUACCUCACUGCAGUCAUAUACAUCUCAAAUUAAUAAUGAAAGAUUAUACCACAAUGGGAGCCCACUGACAUAGUGAGUGGAGUAUGUUGAAUUCUCAUUUCCAAUUUUUCACCUUUUCUUGCAUCCAUGCCCAUUGCAUUGUAACUUUGCACGUCCUUUCACGAAAAGAGGGCUAUACUUCCUAGCCCCCGACUUUAAACUUGACCAUGUGACUUGCUUUGGCCAAGGGGAUGUGGGUGUAAGCAACACUGCACCAGCUUCGAGGCUAGGACUUAUGAGGUCUUGUAUGUUUCACUUACCCUUUGUACUUCUGACAUCACCACGAGAAGACCAUGGUCCAGCUAGCCUGCUGAUCCCAGAAGGAUGAGAGAUAUGUGGACCAAAAGGAUCCAACCUGCAGCUUGGAGACGCCCAGCUUAGCCCAGACAAGAUCAGCUGUGCCAUCUCAGCUGAUGAAUUUUAGAAUGAAUACCAAAUCCCUGGAGUGGCCACGCCCUCUUCCCUUACUGAGGCAACUCCCUUCUGUUGGACUUCCAUUUUCAUAAAGAGAAAGCCCUCAGGAGAAUGGCAGCUGGGCUGAAGCAGCUGUGAGAGGCUUUAUGGUUGCAGGAAAGCUAAGAGAUGAAAGGGAAGCAAGCAGAGAGAUGGGGACUUCAUACCACCAAAAAAGCUGUGCCGGGAGCACGACGCAUCCUUUGGACCUGAGGUUCCUGUGCUGAGAUGCUCCCAGACCAAGGGAAGACUGAUGAGAAGGACCUUCCUCCAGAGCCGACAGAGAGAGAAAGCCUUCCUUUCCCCUGGAGCUGACACCCUGAAUUUGGACUUGUAGCCUACUUUACUGUGAGAGAAGAAACUUCUCUUUGUUAAAACCAUCCACUUGUGGCAUUUCUGUUAUAGCAGCACUAGAUGGCUAAGACAAGUACUGAUUCUUACCUUCAAGCACAUGUUACCUAGAGCCACUUAUUCAGAUAUUCUUCCAUGUCUUUCAGGGAAGUUGCAUGUUUUUUUCAUGCAUCGUAAACAAUUUUAUUCUUGGUGUGUUCAUAGGCUUUUUUUUUUUUUGCAGUUGUAAAUGAAAUCUUUUUUGUCAUUGCAUUUCCUAAUUGAUUAUUACUCAUGUGUUAGAAAAUUGCUCAUUUUGGGUGUUUAUCUUAUUCCUUGCUACCUUCCUUUUAAAAUUAAUUAAAAUUAAUUUUAAUUAGUUAAAAUUUGAUUUUCCUGAAUUUUUCGGAAGACAAAAAACUCCUGUGCAAAUUAUACUUGUUUUGAUUUCUCCUUUCCAGCAUUUAUACAUUACAUUUCUCUUUCAAGUUUUUUUUUUUUUAACAUUGGCUGGAAUUGAUAAUCCAGUGUGGAAUUUGAUAGAAGGCGUUCUUGGCUUAUUCUUUACUGAUCAGAGAGGUUCUAAUGAUUUCCCUUAAGUGUGAAAUGUCUUGUAGGUUUAGGGAAGCCUUGUGUUUCUAGAAUGCUAAAUUUUAAUUUUGUCGAAAAGCAAGGAUGGUUGAAUUUUAUCAUGUUCUCAACAUCUAUUAAAGAUGAUCAUGUCUUUCCUCCUUUUUUUCUAUUAAUGCAUUAUAUUUCAUUCUUAUACUUCUAAUGUUGAAUCACCAUUUUAUUCUUGGGAUAAACCUUGUAAAGUUUUAAUGUAUUAUUCUUUUAAUGCAUUGAUUUGAUAAUGUUUUAUUCAUAUUUCAUCUAUAUUGAUAGAUAAGUUUUCUGUGUGUGUGUGUAUUGUGUCUUUUCUGAAUUUGGUAUCUAUUUGAUCUUCUAAAAUUAAAUACUUAUGCUCGUCAAAAGACUUCACCAAAAGAGUGAAAUGAGAACUUACAGACUGGGAAAAAAUUUUGGGCUAUGAUAAAUCCGACAAAGGUCUGAUCUCUAAAAUCUACAAGAAAAUUCAACACCCCUACGACAAAAAGACAAAUAAUCCGAUUAAAAAAUGGGCAAAGGAAAUGGACACUUCACCAAAGAAGACAUUAAAGCAGCCAACAGACACAUGAGGAAAUGCUCACAAUCACUAGCCAUUAGAGAAAUACGAAUUAAACCCACAAUGAGAUACCAUCUCACCCUGGCAUUACUGGCACACACACACACACACAACCAAAAAAACAGGAAAUAAAAAUGUUGGAAAGGCUACAGGGAGAUUGGAACUCUUAAGCACUGCUGGUGGGGAUACAACCAUUUUGGAAAAACAAUAUGGUGCUUUCCUUAGAAAGCUAGAAAUAGAAAUACCAUAUGAUUCAGCCAUCCCGCUCCUAGGAAUAUAUCCUAGAGAAAUAAGAGCCGUCACGCUAAUAGACAUACACACAUCCAUGUUCACUGCAGCAUAGUAAAAGGAUGGAAACAUCUUAGAUGUCCACCAACAGAUGAAUGGAUGAACAAACUAUGGUACAUAUACACAAUGGAGUAUUACACAAUGAUAAAGAACAAUGAUGAAUCUGCGAAGCAUCUCACAACAUGGAUGACUCUGGAGGGCAUUGUGCUGAGUGAAAUAAGUCAAUCACAAAAGGACAAAUAUUG